rnacentral:rRNA from 1 species
CGGCUGAACCAGCAACUUGGAGGAAUGUAUAGCUAAAGCUAAAUGUAUUUUGUAAUAAUACAGAUUCGAUUUAUUCGUAUAAAGUUCUAGAUAGAAUUAUGAUAAUGACAUUGUCUAUCUAUAAGUCUUGACCAAAUUACGUGCCAGCAGUCGCGGCAAGACGUUAAAGACUAGUGUUAUUCAUCUUUAAUAGGUUUAAAGCGUACCUAGACGGUAAAUCAAGCCUUAACCGGGACUAAUUUAACUAGAGUUAGAUGUAAGGGUGCAUAAACGUACUGUUGAGUGUAGAGAUGAAAUUCUUUUAUACCAGAUUAUUGGCACGGGUUUAGGCGAAAGCAUCGCCUUAUGUAAUAACUGACGUUGAGGGACGAAGGCUUUGUGUCGCGAACAGGAUUAGAUACCCCAGUAGUCUAAGCAGAAAAUGAUGAGUGUCAUAGGUUAAAUUUCUUAUUUGGUCUAUAAAUGAAAGUGUAAGCAUUCCACCUCAAGAGUAAUUUGGCAACAUUGGAAUUGAAAUCAUUAGACCGUUUCUGAAACCAGUAGUGAAGUAUGUUGUUUAAUUAGAUAAUCCACAAAAAACCUUACCACAAUUUGAAUAUUUUACAAGCGUUGCACGGCUGUCUUCAGUUAAUGUCGUGAGAUUAUGGUUAGUUCCAUCAAAUUAACGUAAACCCUUACUUUAUUUUAUAAAAUAUAAAGUUGUACCUCGCUAUAUUGUUUAGAUAAAAGGGACUAAGACAAGUCAUCA